rnacentral:tRNA from 1 species
GCGGGGGUUGCCGAGUGGACAAAGGCGGCGGAUUUAGGGUCCGCUCCCGUAGGGGUUCGUGGGUUCGAAUCCCACCCCCCGCA